rnacentral:lncRNA from 1 species
CGUCAUUUUGCCUCCAUUGAAUCAAAAUGACAGAUGAUGGGUUUAAAAUAAUACGAAGAUUUAAAAAACAUUUUUUAAAAAAGCAUCAGAAACAUUUUGUUAAAAAAUACAAACAAAGAAACAAUCUUCCAGUACUUCAAUGAGGCAAAUAAAACAAACUUUAGAAUGAAAGCACUAAAAACGUUUUACAUGACUAGCUAACCUUCGUCAUCAUCAUCAUCAUACUGUGGGUGUGGAUGAAGUUAUAAAUUGUUUAAACCACAGAGAGGAAGAGAAAAUUAAAUCGAGCCGGCCUUCAGAGACCGGAGAGAUCAACGUGAUCGAAGCAGUUCUCCUGCAGAUUGAUGAAUUUUUCUUCAUCAGGAUCAAAUUCAGAAUGAACUUCAACCAUCUUCUGUUAUUCUGCUUCUUAUCAGCCACACUGCGUGGUGAUAUCUCCGUCCUCGUCGAUGCAAAAACACUCUUCCGUACUGAGGGAAGCAGCAUCGUAGUCGAGUGUCCCUUUAGUUUGUUUGGGAGGACGAAGUUCCUCUGCAGGGACGGAUGUAAAGAAGAAGACAUUCUCAUUCAAACCAGAGGCGACAGAGCUCAGAGUGGAAGAUACGGCAUCUUGUACAAAGAGGGAAGUUCUCUGGUUUCUUCUUCAGUUGUGAUUGUGAUCAUCACACAGCUGAACAAAUCUGACCAGGGACGGUACAGGUGUGGUCUGGAGAGAGCUUUCUUACCUGAUUCAUACUGGGAGUUUGACAUCAGAGUUACAGACGCUCCAAAGCCUUUCCCUGAGAUCAUGAAGCAGUCUGAGCAGCAGCAGACUGCAGAAACAACAUCUGCAGCUGCAGUUCACAGUUCUGUUAAAGGUUCAAACCUGCAGAGCUCAACCGUACGUCCCAUGGAAGCCCUGAAAGUCUCUCGCCCGGGUCACACCCUGCCUCUGCUCGUUUGUCUCACUGUGGUUGUGCUGUCGGCUGUCGUUGUGUUGCUGCUCUACAGGUGUAGGACAGGUGUAGGUUUGACCACCAGAGGGCAGUCGGACGAAAGAAACACAGAGUUCACCACCUAUGAGAAUUGUUCCAAACAUCAAGACGACGCCUCCCCAGCUGUAGAUGAUCAGGACAAAAUCUACUCCAACCUCUGACAUUAUAUUUUAUUUCCUGUAAACCUCUUAAUAACAUCAUUACUCUUUUCUGAGAAGAAGUGCUCUUAGCUUUCAUUAUUUUAAAUCUUUUACUUUAUUGUUCUCACUGGCUGAAGAUGUACCCCUGUAUGUAAUCAUGUACUCGAGUAUAAGUAGAGAUGUUUUUAAAAGCACUUUUUAAAGGUUUAUCUAACAGUACCUCAUAGCAUUUGUAUUGUAUAACUGAAACUUUAACACAAACUCAGCAUUUUAAUGUUACAACUUUAACUACUUUAUCUUCUGGUGCAUAGUUUUAUCCAAUUACACAGUAUCCUAUCUUGUAAAGUGAUGAUGUGUUUUGUUCGUAAAAUCUAAAUAUUUAGAGCAGCUCAGUUUGUUUGACAAAUAGAGUGAAAUUAACAAUUCUUCCCUAGAAGUUUAAAGUGAUAUACAUAUUGAAAAACUCAAUUAUAUUAAAAGUACUUCAAAGUUGUACUUUAAGGGUGACUCCACCAGUUUUACACAUUAAAUUGUGUUUAUAGGUGAUGGAGAGUACAGAUGAUGUGAAAAAAGUAGCAUAACGCCUUUCGUUGCUACAGAGGAAGCUGCAAGUAAUCUGAUAUUAAUCCAGUGAUGUCACUCAGUGGUGAAGGUGCAUUGUGGGUACACCAGGUCUGUACUAGAAACUACAACAGAAG